rnacentral:rRNA from 1 species
GACGAACGCUGGCGGCGUGCCUAAUACAUGCAAGUCGAACGCAGUGGGGACGGGUGAGUAACACGUGGGUAACCUCCCAUCAGAGGGGAUAACACUUGGAAACAGGUGCUAAACCGAUACUGAUGGAUGGACCCGCGGUGCAUUAGCUAGUUGGUGAGGUAACGGCUCACCAAGGCCACGAUGGAUAGCCGACCUGGGAGGAUGGUCGGCCACACUGGGAGUUAGAGACGGCCCAGACUGCUACGGGAGGCAGCAGUAGGGGAUCUUCGGCAAUGGACGAAAGUCUGAACGAGCAACGGCGCGUGAGUGAAGAAGGGUUUCGGGUCGUAAAGCUCUGUUGUUAAGGAAGCGGUACUUAGCCAGAAAGGGACGGCUAACUACGUGCCAGCAGCCGCGGUAAUAC